rnacentral:lncRNA from 1 species
CUCCUCUGCAUCACUGGCGCCCCACCACGUCGAUCUACUCAUCUCCGACCGUCCCCGACACCCUCGAGCCUUCCUCGAGCAUCACAGUGAGCUCCGCCUCGAUCCCCUUUUCCUCUAGGCGUCGUUCCCGUUCUCUUGCUGCCCUUCCACGAGAUCCACUCCGGCCACUGGAUCAACUCGUCGUAGUCGUCGUUUUGGUCUGCCUCAGCUUGCACCUACGACGUGGAUCAAUGUGGCGCCUCGCGCUGGUUUCAUAGGACAUUGCGCCGCUCCGUUUGGCCGCCCGGAGCUCACUCCCGCGCCGUCUCCGUCGCCGGCGAGCACGCACUUGUGCGCCACGGCCGUGCCCCCGUGCACCCCCUGCGGGCAUGCCCGCACCACCGCAACUACUCCCGGCCGCCCUCUGGGCACGCUCCCUCGCCUUCUGCUGCUGCUGCCUCCUACUACUGCUACCGUUGCCGCUCUACUGCCACUGCUCCCCGCGCACCGCGCUUGCCUGCCGCUGCUGCUGAUUUGCUGCUACUCCUACUAGGUGUUGCCUCUGCUGCUGAUGGAUAUUGCCACUACUAUCGCUGCUCUAUUGCUGUUGUAGCUGCCAGCGGUGGCACACCAGUGGCUGGCUUGCCCAAGCACACAAUGCGUGCAUACCUAAGCACACUGGUGGCCGGCUUGGGCCAUGGCCGAUGGGGCUAGCCCAUGUUUAGGCCAGUAGAUGAUAAUUAGUGGUUACACUAGUCUAUGUAUAGAUGGCAUGUGGGUCCCCUGGAGAUUAAAAUAAAUAACAAAAUUAAUUUAGCUACUGUCUAUGACAUCAGGCUCCCGCAGGCACUGUUCAUUUUGACCGGUCAACUCUGACUAGGUUGCUGACUUUGACCAUGACCCCACUCGUCAACCUUUGAGGCUACUGCCACCGGAUACACUUCUGGCUACCCGAAGCAGUUUGCCCAAUUAUUUUCGAGUUAAAAGAAUUCAUGAAAAUAUUUAAAUCUUUGAUAAUUCAUAGAAAAUAAAUCGUAAUUCCGAUGAAAUUACUUUAUACAUGAGAGUUGCUCAGAAAAAUCAAACGAAUCCGAGUACGCGGUCCGUUUACCUGUCGGAUGCAUCUCACUAGCUGAAUAUGAAACAUUACCCCUCCGGUCAUCUGUUUGACAUAGGUCCGGAACUGGGAAAACAUUCCCGGUUGAAUUCCCCCUUCACCUAUAUCGUGUAGCCAUACGUUAGGUCACACCCGGCAUGUCGUAUUACCUUGUUAUGAUUUAUGAUACUUUGUUUGCUUUAUAUUUAUUGUUUCUUCCCCCUCUUCUCUCUAUAGACCCCGAGACCGAUGUUGCCCCCGUGAUCGACUACGUCUCCGACGACCCUUCUUCCCUUUUAGCGGAGCUUCCAGGAAAGCCCCCCUUUGAUCAUCUCGAUAUCGCCCAUUCCAAUCCGCUCAUGCUUGCAUUAGAUUAUGCUACUGUUAUUGUUUGCUCCUAUUCUGAUGCAUAGCCUGCUUUUGUAACAUGCUUAUUGUACCUUACCUGCGUAUCCUAAACUGCUUAGUAUAGGUUGGUUAGUGAUCCAUCAAUGACCCCCACCUUGUCCUUGUUGCCCCUGCUUCAUCAUCGAAGACCCGAUCAACGGGAUCGAAGACCAGGCCCCAGCACCGCACAUCACUUUCC